UUAUUGUGAUUCCUGACAAGCAAGAGGAAUGUGACUCCUGGGACUGAAUUUCCCUAGUAAUUCUCGCAGUAAUCAGCAAUAUCACCAACCAGACCGAGGCCGGGACCUAAUCCCUGUCCUCACCAUUCAGGUUUAGGUCCGCUCGAAACCCUGAAAAGAACUGAUACAUUUCAAAAAUUGUUAGGAAUGGAAUUUUAGAUUAGGUGAAUUGGACAACUGGAUCCUUCCAAUUAGAGAGACGCUUUAUCACCAUUACUUAUUUCCUUGGAAGACUCGCUUAUGCAUCCAGCGUUUAAUUUGGGUAGAGCUAUCUUUACAUGCUUUUGAUUUAUUAAUCUACAAAUCUGGACGUCUACUUUAAGAGAAGGUGUCUGGGAACAGAAAGUGGUUACCUCAGUUAACCAAAUAUAAAAGACCAAAUGAAGAACAGAAAUUGACUUGCUGAUAUGUCAGUUCCCUGGGUGUCAAGUUCAGCUGCAUUUAUGAUUUUGUGUUUUCUCUCAUGGUUUGGGUGAGGUUUUUUUCUAAAAUGAUUUUAUUACACAUGAACCAAAUGCUUGCUUAGGAUUUUAUGCCCAAAUAUGUGCUGAUUCUAAGGGAAUCUUUUAUGAGGCAUUUAUUUUCCUUUAAAAGGUAUCAUAUAAGCUGCUGAGUUUUGUUGCGUUAUUUCUUACUAAUUUUUUUUUACCUCCUGCUUUUUGAAACUCCAGCUUUAUAGAAGGAAAGAGUGCUGGAAUGUUAUGCAUGCUUCUUUUGAAGCAGUGUGGCUGCUUUUUAUUGUGGGGCAUGAUAUGAGGUUGAGAAAAUUGAGUGUACCUCUUAAAGCAGAGGCCAGAAUCUGGUAUUCUUUUCUCUACCCAUGCCUUUCUCUCUCUCUGUGCACCUAUACUCCUCCCCAUCUUCCUCAUCUUGCUCAGUUGACAAGGAUUUCUUGAACACCUGCUGUGGGCCAGGCAUUGUUCUAGGUGUGGGAGAGAGGGGAGGCAGCCAAGAUCCCAUCUCCUAUUCUAGUAAAGAGGAACAGAAAAUUAGCAAGAAAAAAAAUAUUUUGUUUGUGGUGUGUGUGUUUGCUUGA
rnacentral:lncRNA from 1 species